UUCAUUUGGAUUUUUUUUGCUGUUUUUUUUGUGUAUUUUUUAAAACUUUUGUUUGUCAUUUGUGAACUUUAUAAACUUACCACAAUGCAAAGUGAUUAUUUAAUGAAAUUAUUAUUGGAACCUCCAGAUGUUGGAGAAAGAUAUUGAUUGAAGCUGAAAAUAAUUGGACAUUUAGAUAUUCCACCAAUUACUAUUAUAAUGCUAUUAUAGAUAUCUGGUGGAGUCUCACAGUUACUACUUUAAACAGCAGAUGAAAGCAUACAAAAGCCUUCAGGCACAUAAGAGCCUUUACAACUGGGUUUGUUUUGAAAGUUGGAGUAAAAAUUGUUAAUGAUUUCUAUAUUAUUGUUGGAAAGGUGAAGCAUUCCCCAAAAGUUAACGCUAAACCACUAGAUGCUUGGGUGAUAGCCAGUUCCAAUGGCAUAGCAAAUGCACAUAUUAUGUGUAUGGCCGGUAAUAGUGAAGUUUGCAGCCAUAUUGCAGCAAUCUUAUUUGCAGCUGAGUAUGCCCACAGCAAGACAGAAGAAGAAGCCAAUGCAUGUACAG